GAACUAGGGUUCAAGGGUGUUGGUCUUAAACACUAUCCCAUCUACUUGAGGGCAACCAACAUUCUGUAUGGACUGUUGUCAGCGCCCAACUAAGACCUGAGCAGGAAGUGUGUUUCCCUCCCAAAUGAGUGUGACCUCCUCCCCCAACUCUGGACAUCAUGAAGCAGGGCAGAGCACAGAGGACAUGCCCUCAUUAUCUAACAGCAAGGUGAGCAGCUUGCUCCACUACAUGGUCUUCAAUAAGAUGUGCUGCCUUGACCCAGGCACAAAGUCAACCAACCAUGGACUAAACCUCCAAAACCAUGAGCCAAAGUGGGUUAAAGCUGAGCCAUCUCAGAACUCGGAAGGAAGCUCCCCAGACACCAUCCCAAGCUCAUAGGGCAGAGAAGCUGAGCCAGUCCCAGCACCUGGAAGGAAGCUCCCCCGCCGCUAUCAAAAGCUCCCAGGGCAGAGAAGGUGAGCUCGUCCCAGAACUCGGAAGGAAGCUCCCCCACCACCAUCCCAAGCUCCUAGGGCAGAGAAGCUGAGCCAGUCCCAGAACUCGGAAGGAAGCUCCCCCGCUGCCAUCCCAAGCUCCUAGGGCAGAGAAGGUGAGCCAGUCCCAGAACCCGGAAGGAAGCUCCCCACUGCCAUCCCAAGCUCCUAGGGCAGAGAAGGUGAGUCGUGUGGGUUCCAGAAGCACCACCC
ensembl:lncRNA